rnacentral:lncRNA from 1 species
AGCAGUUGUUUGAAAUCACGAAACCAGGACUUAAUCUAUUACAUUGCUCCAAAUAAAAUGAAAGUUUUCCCAAAUUACAUUAUAACCUACUAAUACAUGAAAUAAAUAUAUAAAUGAGACUAAUCUAUUACAAGUUUCUAUAUAAUUAAUAACCUAAAGAAUGCUUUGCCUCUUUUGAACAUGACUUGUCCAUCAAAGUUGGGCCUCUUCAUGUGUUAGAACAGCAGGAUCCAAAUUUCAGCUUUUGAGCCUGCUGAUUUGGUCAACUAGUGAUCAAAUCUGCAAGUACUAGCCUAGGUUUAGCUAACAGCUUUGUGGCCAUUUUCAUACCCAAACAACAAAAAUAACACACAGGUUUCAGCACACGAUCAUGUCUAAUUCUCGGCUUUAACACAUGCUGAUUUGGCUAAUAAAUGGCCAAAUCUACAAGUUAUAGCCUACUUGAUCUCAAACAAAGCAAACAUUGUACUAGAAUUCAUUUAUGAGCAUGGAAGGUAUGGACAAUAGCUUUAAUAGCUAAAAUAAACGAAAAUCAGCAUAGAGUUUCCACUUAGCAAAUUCAGGUUCUUUGACAUCUUUUAGGAAGAUCACAAGUGUCAAACUUACACAAUGUUCAUAUCAGUAUAUCUCAACUUGCAAUCAUAUCAACUAAGUUCAGAGUAUGCUAAUCAAACAAACACAAAGGAAAGCACUCGUUUGUUACACACAAUCUUAUAAACUUGAUAUUUAUAAUUCAUCAAUCAAAAUAAUUACAUAGGGGAGGGUUUGAAUCAAUACCUUAAACAACAAAAUAUCAGCACCUCCUAAGAUGAGAAGGCACUAAUUGAAGAAACCCAAAAAUAAGAAAAGAAAAGAGCAGUAGCAGAGCUCAAAAACUAGCCAGCAAACGAGUGACCCCCCCCCCCAGAGUUUCAAAACCAAAACAGCCACUUGAAAGCCAGAAAGCUCAACCAAAUAACCCUAGAAACCGCCUACUUCAAAUCAUUUCUAGCUUGUUAAAAUAAGGGAGAGGUUUUUUAGAAAUUUUCUGAGAUUUUCUCAAGUCUGAAAUUUUCAGAGAAAAGAGGAAUUUUAGGCAGAGAAUAAUGCUAAUCUAAUGAUUGUCAAUGAUUGUAUGUGUGAGUGAAUGCUUUCUCUUUUAUAGAGUGCACAAAAAGCAUCAAAAGAAAGGAAUAUUAGGACCUAGUACAACAUCUUUUUUACAGUUGUAUGUACUUUUUCCUUAUCCAAAAUCAGCAUUUGCUAAGGAUAGAGACAAUUGUCCUAAGUUCUAGAACUUUCUGAUUUUACCCAAUGUGAACUUCAUAUUUUGCCCUUUGAAUUACCACCUAUUUCAGUUCUAUCCUAAACUUUUAGGUUCAGUUAAGUACCUAAAGUUUUUAUUUGUUGGUAAAUCAGAACAAACAAGGACAAGCCUAGAAAGGAUUGAAACUUUGGAUCAAAAUGCCUAAGAGGAUCGAAUGGAUACAAUCUAACCAACAAACGUUAAUGCUUAACUGAUUAAACCUAAACCAGAAUUGAACCUAACAAUUAAUGCACUUAAACAGUAACCAAAACAAAAUCAAAGAUGCAAUCGCACGACAAAACUAGAAUUUAACCUAUAUCAGUUUGUAAAACUUAAGCAAAUGAAACAACAACGGCCUAAAUAAUUGUUAAUUCAACUAGAACAAGACAUUAGAUCAGUUUAGGAAAACAAAACAAUCAUUUGAAAUACUUAAUCUUAGAACUGAACCCUAGGCUAACUAAAUUCAACCAAUUGGAAACAUGCUCUUUUUUUUAAUCUAACAAACAAAAAACAGAUAUCAAACAAAACUAAAGAUCUGUGAAUCAAAAGAAAGAGAACCUAAAAUAGCCUAACUAAAACAUGCAACAAACAGAAACAAAUAAUAAAAGAAAGAAAAGAGAUGAUAGAGGUUCUUAAAAAAGGAAAAAGAAGAGUGGAGGGAUUUACUAGCUUGUUUCUGGACAGACCAAACAAAGCAAAACUGGACCAAUCUUAGAAUCAAAGGGCAAUACGGACAUUGAACUAGCAUUAACCGACUGUUCUCAAUGAGAACAGUCGACUAAUGAAAGUUUGGGGUUCAAAUGCCCAACUCUGGCCGGAGAAAAAAAUGGUACAAGCUUAGAUCGAAAAUUCAGAGAUAUUUGCCGAGGAUUUCGGGGAAUUGGUAGUGUUUUAGGGUUCAUAGGAGUAUGAGGAUUGUGGGGUAUGAUUUUGAGGUGAUUUGGAGGAGUUAGGGUGUUUUGGUUUGAAUCUUAGAUUUAAAAUUUGGGGCGUCUGAGUGUGAUUCGAGGGGAUUGGCUUGGGGAUUUGUAAAGAGAAGACGAGUCUGGGGUGUUGAUUUGGGGUCAUUUGGGACAGUUAGGGUUUUGGCCGUGAUUUCGAUCCAAGAUUCGAACAACUCGGUAGUGAUUCGAAGGAAAAGGAUUGGAGAUUCAGAAUGAGGAGGUAGUGGGGGUUUCAAGGUGUAAAUUUGGGGAUGAUUGGUAGUGAUCCGCCGUCGUGAGGCAAUUUCCGGCUGGCGGACCACGGCGGAGACGGUGAGGAGUUGAUGGCGGCUAGGGUUUCAUGUGUUUGGAUGAAAGAGGUGAAUUGAACGGGAUUGGAAUGGGGGGGGGGUUGAUUCAGACAGUAAUAUAGUUAAUGAGAGAUUAGUUCCAAGCCAU